rnacentral:rRNA from 1 species
AGUGAACGCUGGCGGUAGGCCUAACACAUGCAAGUCGAACGGCAGCACAGUAAGAGCUUGCUCUUACGGGUGGCGAGUGGCGGACGGGUGAGGAAUACAUCGGAAUCUACUUUUUCGUGGGGGAUAACGUAGGGAAACUUACGCUAAUACCGCAUACGACCUACGGGUGAAAGCAGGGGAUCUUCGGACCUUGCGCGAUUGAAUGAGCCGAUGUCGGAUUAGCUAGUUGGCGGGGUAAAGGCCCACCAAGGCGACGAUCCGUAGCUGGUCUGAGAGGAUGAUCAGCCAAACUGGAACUGAGACACGGUCCAGACUCCGACGGGAGGCAGCAGUGGGGAAUAUUGGACAAUGGGCGCAAGCCUGAUCCAGCCAUACCGCGGGGGUGAAGAAGGCCUUCGGGUUGUAAAGCCCUUUUGUUGGGAAAGAAAAGCAGCAGGUUAAGACCCCGCUGUUCUGACGGUACCCAAAGAAUAAGCACCGGCUAACUUCGU